UACGUAGGGUGCAAGCGUUGUUCGGAAUUACUGGGCGUAAAGGGCGCGUAGGCGGCCUUGUAAGUCUCGUGUGAAAGCCCUCGGCUUAACUGAGGAUCUGCACGGGAUACUGUAAGGCUCGAGUUCGGGAGAGGAAAGCGGAAUUCCGGGUGUAGCGGUGAAAUGCGUAGAUAUCCGGAGGAACACCAGUGGCGAAGGCGGCUUUCUGGACCGACACUGACGCUGAGGCGCGAAAGCUAGGGGAGCAAACGGG
rnacentral:rRNA from 1 species